rnacentral:rRNA from 1 species
GAGUAACACGUGGGCAAUCUGCCCUUCACUCUGGGACAAGCCCUGGAAACGGGGUCUAAUACCGGAUAACACUCCCUCCCGCAUGGGUGGGGGUUAAAAGCUCCGGCGGUGAAGGAUGAGCCCGCGGCCUAUCAGCUUGUUGGUGAGGUAGUGGCUCACCAAGGCGACGACGGGUAGCCGGCCUGAGAGGGCGACCGGCCACACUGGGACUGAGACACGGCCCAGACUCCUACGGGAGGCAGCAGUGGGGAAUAUUGCACAAUGGGCGAAAGCCUGAUGCAGCGACGCCGCGUGAGGGAUGACGGCCUUCGGGUUGUAAACCUCUUUCAGCAGGGAAGAAGCGAAAGUGACGGUACCUGCAGAAGAAGCGCCGGCUAACUACGUGCCAGCAGCCGCGGUAAUACGUAGGGCGCAAGCGUUGUCCGGAAUUAUUGGGCGUAAAGAGCUCGUAGGCGGCUUGUCGCGUCGGUUGUGAAAGCCCGGGGCUUAACCCCGGGUCUGCAGUCGAUACGGGCAGGCUAGAGUGUGGUAGGGGAGAUCGGAAUUCCUGGUGUAGCGGUGAAAUGCGCAGAUAUCAGGAGGAACACCGGUGGCGAAGGCGGAUCUCUGGGCCAU